CCUACGGGUGGCACCAGUGGGGAAUAUUGGACAAUGGGGGGAACCCUGAUCCAGCCAUGCCGCGUGUGUGAAGAAGGCCUUUUGGUUGUAAAGCACUUUAAGCGAGGAGGAGGCUACCUAGAUUAAUACUUUAGGAUAGUGGACGUUACUCGCAGAAUAAGCACCGGCUAACUCUGUGCCAGCAGCCGCGGUAAUACAGAGGGUGCGAGCGUUAAUCGGAUUUACUGGGCGUAAAGCGUGCGUAGGCGGCCAAUUAAGUCAAAUGUGAAAUCCCCGAGCUUAACUUGGGAAUUGCAUUCGAUACUGGUUGGCUAGAGUAUGGGAGAGGAUGGUAGAAUUCCAGGUGUAGCGGUGAAAUGCGUAGAGAUCUGGAGGAAUACCGAUGGCGAAGGCAGCCAUCUGGCCUAAUACUGACGCUGAGGUACGAAAGCAUGGGGAGCAAACAGGAUUAGAUACCCGAGUAGUC
rnacentral:rRNA from 1 species